GAAAGAGAGAGAGGGAGAGAGGAAAGAGAGAGAGGGAGAGAGGAAAGAGAGAGAGGGAGAGAGGAAAGAGAGAGAGGGAGAGAGAAAAGAGAGAGAGGGAGAGAGAAAGAGAGAGAGGGAGAGAGAGGAAAGAGAGAGAGAGAGAGAGGAAAGAGAGAGAGGGAGAGAGGAAAGAGAGAGAGGGAGAGAGGAAAGAGAGAGAGAGAGAGAGAGAGAGAGAGGGAGAGAGAGAGGAGAGAGAGAGAGAGAGAGAGAGAGAGAGAGAGAGAGAGAGAGAGAGAGAGAGAGAGAGAGAGAAACAGAAGUAGGAGACGACAGGAUGACAGAUUAUCCCUUGGGGCACCCAUAAACUGAGAGGGCUAAAAAAAUUAAAAUUAAAAUAAAUAAUAAAUAAAAAUGCUUCACCCUAUAUCCCUGAUGGAGAAGGAAAUGGAUUAGGGCUUUGGAGGAGGAGAAUGUGGGACGAUUAUUGGCCAUGAAAGAUUUGAAGGCACCAUUGGUAAAAGUAGUGGGAACCACUAAGUGUCAGAUAAAGAUGAUGUAAAUUGUUACAACCGGGCUGACAAAAGACUACAAACAUGGCCGCCGCUCACAAACUUACCGGCUACAGCGCCAUCUUCAGGUUGGAUGCCGUCAUGACCGAGGGUAUGCAGGCCCCUCAGCAAAUGUUACCCACUUAAGGUGAACCCCAAGGAACAAAGGGGAAUGAAAAGGUGGAGAGUUGAAAAUGGACAAGAAAAAGAAGGCAUGUGGACAUUAUAUUAUGAACUAUUGUGGUGGAAGUCAUUCUUCUUAAAGUCAAGCAGAAUUGAAGGAGGUGGUGGGAUUGUCAUUUAUUUCCAACCCCCGAUUCAGCAAACAGUUGGUUUCUGCGGUCAAUGUCAAUGAACAAGGCCCCUGGUUGAAAAGACUGAAAUAAGUGAUGAACUGACACAAGUGAGUCCUAUGAGGGAACCAAGCGGGGCCAGAGAAUUACAUGCCAAUAAUACAUGUCUUGGGGAACUUUUCCUCAAAGUCCUAUCAGGAGUGAAAUUAAUCUGGAGAUUAUAAGCCCUAACUGGACUGGGGUCCCCAAGAGAGAGAAAGGGAUUUAAGGAAGGAUGUCAAGAAAGGCCAGGAUGAGGUAGGUUUUUUUAAUUAGAUGGGAAAGGCAGAGUUGAAAGUUGAGGGGGAACUUCUUUACUCAGAGAGUGGUAGCUGUGUGGAAUGAGCUUCCAGUGAAGGUGGUGGUGGCAGGUUCGAUAUAUGGUUAUAUGGUAUACCCUUAGAAAGUAUUUGUUGAUGUGGACAAUUUGUUGGUUUGUUCCACAAGUGAAGAGAGAGAAAUACUUCAGAAUAUAAGACAGCAGAUGAUGACCUUGGGAAAGGCAGGAUAUAGUUCAGACUAGAUUGGGAAUUUUGAAAUUGUAUGGUGAAAUGGAAAAAGUACAUGUCAAAGAAGUUAAAUUAAAAUGCAGACAAAGCAGCUGAAACAGCAUCUGGAAGAGAUGUCCAGGAAUUAAAAACCAAGGAGCUGUUGGCACAGAGUCCCCAUCUCGACUUGCCAAUCCAUUCUGUGAAAGCAGAGAACUGGGAUCUUGUAAAAUCAUGGAAGGAAGAAAAGCUGCAACCAAAGUGGACUGGACCCUACCUUGCGUUAUUAAUCACCGAGACAGCAGUACGAACAAAAGAAAAAGGGUGGACACACGCAAACCGAUUUAAGGGUCCUGUGGAGGCCCCACCGGACAAUAUCAGCCCGUAGACUGUGCGUGAAGGGAAGGAACCAUUGACUUUGUGCCUAUUCGGAUGUUGUAUUAUUCCCUGCGCUGGCCUUCAGAACACAGUAUGACUAGCGAGAGGAGGAUAGGGAGGCGAAGAAUCUGCUGCUAGCACUAGAAAAGGAAGAUAUAGUAUAAUUCAAAAGAUGCGUAGCAAAAAGAAAAAUGGUGGAUUGUGAGAGAAGGGUUAAUAGGGAUGAUUGAAUUAUACUAGAACUCUGAAAAAUAUAACUUAGAAAGAAAUGAGCUUAUCCGCAGAAGCCAGACUGCUGGUAAAGUAACAAUAUACAGAACAGAGAGAAAUUCUAGAUAAAAAGUAGCAAACAGAUAACAACUUCAGCAGAAGGCCUUGGGAGUCUUGACGUCAGGAAAUGGUCCGAGACAUUCCUGGACUUUCUCGUGGGAACGUGGGCUUUAUGUUAUGAUUGGACGAAACUCGAUGGGGAGACCUGAGGUAGUGACCACAGUGAAGAAGGGUAUAAAGAUAGAAAGCAUCUCCAUUUUCUUUGUGCCUCCAGGGGACAUCAGAGGAGAGACACCUAUUCUGCAGAAUAUGAAAUUAAUAAAAACACUUCUUUGUCUGAA